UACGUAGGUGGCAAGCGUUGUCCGGAAUUAUUGGGCGUAAAGCGCGCGCAGGCGGCCUUUUAAGUCUGAUGUGAAAUCUUGCGGCUCAACCGCAAGCGGCCAUUGGAAACUGGGAGGCUUGAGUACAGAAGAGGAGAGUGGAAUUCCACGUGUAGCGGUGAAAUGCGUAGAUAUGUGGAGGACACCAGUGGCGAAGGCGACUCUCUGGUCUGUAACUGACGCUGAGGCGCGAAAGCGUGGGGAGCAAACAGG
rnacentral:rRNA from 1 species